CUGCCUCUGAGAUAACACCAUCCAUCCUGGUGAGAUCAUUAAGACAUGGGACGUUCUAAAGGAAGGUAAAACAUGUCCUACAGUAAGGACUUCUAGGCAACACUCUGAGAUGAGAUGAGCUGCCUUAAAGCAGCACUCUCCAACCUGCUGAGCUGCUUGCUUGUGCCGAGUUGCAGGAUUCCAGCUUUCCUGAGCCGUCACCUACAUUGGGUAGACUUUGAGUGAUACAGCUGCCUUUGGAUCAUUUCUGCUUUUCCUGAGAAUUCUCUGCUAAUAUCACAGACUUUGUGUAAAUCCCAGAGAAUGAGGGUGCCCUGGUGCAUGCCAUGCUACAGUGGGACCUGUGUCUGCUUCUAUUGUCUGUAGCCAAGAUUUCUUCCAGUUCUACAGUAGAGAUACAGAGGCAAGGUCUCAUGCUGACCUAACGCUGACCUCUGUUCAGGCUGUCAUGACUGCAAGAGCAGAAGACUGCCUAUGCAUCCCAGAGUUGGCUCUGUGUGCCCUUUGGCCUCCAGA
rnacentral:lncRNA from 1 species